AUUGAACGCUGGCGGCAGGCUUAACACAUGCAAGUCGAGCGGGGUGAUGGUGCUUGCACUAUCACUUAGCGGCGGACGGGUGAGUAAUGCUUAGGAAUCUGCCUAUUAGUGGGGGACAACAUCUCGAAAGGGAUGCUAAUACCGCAUACGUCCGACGGGAGAAAGCAGGGGAUCACUUGUUACCUUGUGCUAAUAGAUGAGCCUAAGUCGGAUUAGCUAGUGGGUGGGGUAAAGGCCUACCAAGGCGACGAACGGUAGCGGGCCUGAGAGGAUGAUCCGCCACGCUGGGACUGAGACACGGCCCAGACUCCUACGGGAAGCAGCAGUGGUGAAUAUUGGACAAUGGGGGGAACCCUGAUCCAGCCAUGCCGCGUGUGUGAAGAAGGCCUUAUGGUUGUAAAGCACUUUAAGCGAGGAGGAGGCUCUUUUGGUUAAUACCCAAGAUGAGUGGACGUUACUCGCAGAAUAAGCACCGGCUAACUCUGUGCCAGCAGCCGCGGUAA
rnacentral:rRNA from 1 species